rnacentral:ncRNA from 19 species
CUGGUGAUCGAUGAAGCUUACUCUGUAUCUGGGCCCUUGGAGUAAGUCGAGAUAGUAGGGCACCCACCGCCAA